rnacentral:rRNA from 1 species
GGGGAAUAUUGCGCAAUGGGGGAAACCCUGACGCAGCAACGCCGCGUGAGUGAGGAAGGCCUUCGGGUUGUAAAGCUCUGUCACUGUGGAAAAAUGAGCAUUGGUCUAAUAGGCCAGUGAAGUGAUGGUACACAGAGAGGAAGCACCGGCUAACUUCGUGCCAGCAGCCGCGGUAAUACGAAGGGUGCAAGCGUUGUUCGGAUUUAUUGGGCGUAAAGCGCGCGCAGGCGGAUGAUUAAGCCAGAUGUGAAAUCUCGGGGCUCAACCCCGAAACUGCGUCUGGAACUGGUUAUCUAGAGUACUGGAGGGGAAAGGGGAAUUUCGCAUGUAGGGGUAAAAUCCGUAGAGAUGCGAAGGAACACCAGCGGGGAAACCGCCUUUCUGGACAGUCACUGACGCUGAGGCGCGAAAGCGUGGGGAUCAAAC